GUGGGGAAUCUUGCGCAAUGGGCGAAAGCCUGACGCAGCCAUGCCGCGUGAAUGAUGAAGGUCUUAGGAUUGUAAAAUUCUUUCACCGGGGACGAUAAUGACGGUACCCGGAGAAGAAGCUCCGGCUAACUUCGUGCCAGCAGCCGCGGUAAUACGAAGGGGGCUAGCGUUGCUCGGAAUUACUGGGCGUAAAGGGCGCGUAGGCGGACAGCUUAGUCAGAGGUGAAAGCCCAGGGCUCAACCUUGGAAUUGCCUUUGAUACUGGCUGUCUUGAGUUUGGGAGAGGGGAGUGGAACUCCGAGUGUAGAGGUGAAAUUCGUAGAUAUUCGGAAGAACACCAGUGGCGAAGGCGACUCACUGGCCCAAUACUGACGCUGAGGCGCGAAAGCGUGGGGAGCAAACAGGAUUAGAAACCCUUGUAGUCC
rnacentral:rRNA from 1 species